GACGAACGCUGGCGGCGUGCUUAACACAUGCAAGUCGAACGGAAAGGCCCUGCUUUUGUGGGGUGCUCGAGUGGCGAACGGGUGAGUAACACGUGUGUAACCUGCCCUUGACUUUGGGAUAACUUCAGGAAACUGGGGCUAAUACCGGAUAGGAGCUCCUGCUGCAUGGUGGGGGUUGGAAAGUUUCGGCGGUUGGGGAUGGACUCGCGGCUUAUCAGCUUGUUGGUGGGGUAGUGGCUUACCAAGGCUUUGACGGGUAGCCGGCCUGGGAGGGGGACCGGACACAUUGGGACUGGGAUGAGGCCCAGACUCCUACGGGAGGCAGCAGUGGGGAAUAUUGCACAAUGGGCGGAAGCCUGAUGCAGCAACGCCGCGUGCGGGAUGACGGCCUUCGGGUUGUAAACCGCCUUCGCCUGUGACGAAGCGUGAGUGACGGUAAUGGGUAAAGAAGCACCGGCUAACUACGUG
rnacentral:rRNA from 1 species